rnacentral:rRNA from 1 species
UACGUAGGGCGCAAGCGUUAUCCGGAAUUAUUGGGCGUAAAGAGCUCGUAGGCGGUUUGUCGCGUCUGCCGUGAAAGUCCGGGGCUCAACUCCAGAUCUGCGGUGGGUACGGGCAGACUAGAGUGAUGUAGGGGAGACUGGAAUUCCUGGUGUAGCGGUGAAAAUGCGCAGAUAUCAGGAGGAACACCGAUGGCGAAGGCAGGUCUCUGGGCAUUAACUGACGCUGAGGAGCGAAAGCAUGGGGAGCGAACAGG